GCUGGCGGCGUGCCUAAUACAUGCAAGUCGAACGCACAGCGAAAGGUGCUUGCACCUUUCAAGUGAGUGGCGAACGGGUGAGUAACACGUGGAUAACCUACCUCAAGGUUGGGGAUAACAUUUGGAAACAGAUGCUAAUACCGAAUAAAACUUCGUAUCGCAUGAUACAAGGUUAAAAGGCGCUACGGCGUCACCUAGAGAUGGAUCCGCGGUGCAUUAGUUAGUUGGUGGGGUAAAGGCCUACCAAGACAAUGAUGCAUAGCCGAGUUGAGAGACUGAUCGGCCACAUUGGGACUGAGACACGGCCCAAACUCCUACGGGAGGCUGCAGUAGGGAAUCUUCCACAAUGGGCGAAAGCCUGAUGGAGCAACGCCGCGUGUGUGAUGAAGGCUUUCGGGUCGUAAAGCACUGUUGUAUGGGAAGAACAGCUAGAGUAGGGAAUGACUUUAGUUUGACGGUACCAUACCAGAAAGGGACGGCUAAAUACGUGCCAGCAGCCGCGGUAAUACGUAUGUCCCGAGCGUUAGCCGGAUUUAUUGGGCGUAAAGCGAGCGCAGACGGUUGAUUAAGUCUGAUGUGAAAGCCCGGAGCUCAACUCCCGAAAGGCAUUGGGAAAACUGGUCAACUUGAGUGCAGUAGAGGUAAGUGGGAACUCCAUGUGUAGCGGUGGAAUGCGUAGAUAUAUGGAUGUACACAUGCGCGAAUGCGGCAUUGACUGGACUGUAACUGACGUUGAGUCUAGAAUAGUGUGGGUAGCAAACAGGAUUAGAUACCGAGGUAGUCCACACCGUAUCAGAUGAACACUAGGUGUUAGGAGGUUUCCGCCUCUUAGUGCUGAAGCUAACGCAUUAAGUGUUCCGCCUGGGGAGUACGACCGCAAGGUUGAAACUCAAAGGAAUUGACGGGGACCCGCACAAGCGGUGGAGCAUGUGGUUUAAUUUGAAGCAACGCGAAGAACCUUACCAGGUCUUGACAUCCUUUGAAGCUUUUAGAGAUAGAAGUGUUCUCUUCGGAGACAAAGUGACAGGUGGUGCAUGGUCGUCGUCAGCUCGUGUCGUGAGAUGUUGGGUUAAGUCCCGCAACGAGCGCAACCCUUAUUGUUAGUUGCCAGCAUUCAGAUGGGCACUCUAGCGAGACUGCCGGUGACAAACCGGAGGAAGGCGGGGACGACGUCAGAUCAUCAUGCCCCUUAUGACCUGGGCUACACACGUGCUACAAUGGUGUAUACAACGAGUUGCCAACCUGUGAAGGUGAGCUAAUCUCUUAAAGUACGUCUCAGUUCGGAUCGCAGUUUGCAACUCGACUGCAAGAAGUCGGAAUCGCUAGUAAUCGCGGAUCAGCACGCCGCGGUGAAUACG
rnacentral:rRNA from 1 species